CGAGAGGUGUUAUGAACACCAAGACCUGCUAAUUCUUGUUACUAAAGUUAAACCCCUUAGACCUCUCACUUUUAAAG
rnacentral:tRNA from 1 species